rnacentral:rRNA from 1 species
GCGAACGCUGGCGGCAUGCUUAACACAUGCCAGUCGCACGGGCAGCAAUGUCAGUGGCGGACGGGUGAGUAACGCGUAGGAACGUGUCCUGAGGUGGGGGACAACCCCGGGAAACUGGGGCUAAUACCGCAUAUGGGCUGAGGCCCAAAGCCGAGAGGCGCCUUUGGAGCGGCCUGCGUCCGAUUAGGUAGUUGGUGGGGUAAAGGCCUACCAAGCCUGCGAUCGGUAGCUGGUCUGAGAGGACGACCAGCCACACUGGGACUGAGACACGGCCCAGACUCCUACGGGAGGCAGCAGUGGGGAAUAUUGGACAAUGGGCGAAAGCCUGAUCCAGCAAUGCCGCGUGGGUGAAGAAGGUCUUCGGAUCGUAAAGCCCUUUCGACGGGGACGAUGAUGACGGUACCCGUAGAAGAAGCCCCGGCUAACUUCGU